GAUGAAGAACGCAGCGAAAUGCGAUAAGUAAUGUGAAUUGCAGAAUUCAGUGAAUCAUCGAAUCUUUGAACGCACAUUGCGCCCGCCAGCAUUCUGGCGGGCAUGCCUGUUCGAGCGUCAUUUCAACCCUCGAGCCCCCCCGGGGGCCUCGGUGCUGGGGGACGGCACACCAGCCGCCCCCGAAAUGCAGUGGCGACCCCGCCGCAGCCUCCCCUGCGUAGUAGCACACACCUCGCACCGGAGCGCGGAGGCGGUCACGCCGUAAAACGCCCAACUUUCUUAGAGUUGACCUCGGAUCAGGUAGGAAUACCCGCUGAACUUAAGCAUAUCAAUAAGCGGAGGA
rnacentral:misc_RNA from 1 species